rnacentral:lncRNA from 1 species
ACCGUGCCCCGGGGGCAGGCAGCUGGCGAACCGGAGAGGAGGAGGAGGAGGAGGAGGAGGAAUGGAGUUUAUUUUAAGGAGAGAAGGAGGAGGAAGAGGAGGAGGAAGGGGGGUUAUUUUAUGAAGAGGAGGAGGAAGAGGAGGAAGAGGAGGAAGAGGAAGAAAUGGGGUUUUUAUGGAGAAAAAGCAGAGGAAGAAGAGGAAGAAGGGGGUUAUUUUCCAGAGAGGAGGAGGAGGAGGAAGGGGGGGUUAUUUUGGAGCAUCUGUCUUCCCUUCCAUUUCCUCCUUUUCUUUCUCCAGCUGCCAUCAAGCUGCUCUCUCUGGCAGCAACUUCCUUUCUCCUUCCCUCGGAGCAGACGGAGACUUAUGGGGAAGUAGAAAACAGAGGCUGGGAGGGGGGAAACUGAGGCCAAACCACCAUCCGUCCGUCUGUCCGGCUGCGGCGGGGGCCAGGGCGCAUCACAUGCUUCCUGCCCCGGGAUCAGGAGGACAAAGUCGCUCUGGGAGGGAGGAAAACUCCAUGGGACAAUUCGGAUCCAACACCUCGGAGUCAGCAAAGAACGGCCCAAAACGGCCCAAAUGCGUCCCCGCUCCAGGGGAGGAUCAGUCAGGGUUGGGAGGUUUUACCCAGCCCUCGCCCCGGGACGGCUCUGGCCUCUCCAAAGGGAUUCUUCUUUCCAGGAAUCGAGGGAUUUCAUCCUCUGGAGCGCAGGGGUGGGAGGAGGGACGGGCGAUGCUCGAAGCCAAGUGCUGCCAUGGGGCAGCCGGCCCUCCCGUGACAGCCCCACGGGGGUGGCUCCGGUGCCUCCGCCCAGCUCCCGUUAUCCAGCACCCACCGGACCCUGCGCUCUCGCAUUUCCCUUGGAUCUGGGGGGAAAUCGCCCUUUCCCCGUGUUUUAUCCACCUGGGAAAGCUGAGGCACAUCCAGGGGCUGCCGGGGCAGCUCCGGGCUCUGCAGCUCCCGCCCCCAGCGGCUCCCCAAACCCUCCUCUCCCCCCGGGGCUCCCGGUGACACCGGGGAGGGGACACACACGGAUGAUUCCCGGGGUGAGGAACGAGAGGCUUCGCCCUUCAGUGCAAGCACAAAACGGGCCGGUACCGAGCGCCCCCGCCCCCACGGAGCGGGGAAGAUGGGAGGAACCGGGAGGAACCGGGAGGAACCGGGAGGUACCGGGGGAACCAGCCCUUACCUGCAGCCUGCCUCGGGGAGAGCGGCGCCGGGACCGGGACCGGGACCGGGGCUG